rnacentral:rRNA from 1 species
GACGAGCGCUGGCGGCGUGCCUAAUACAUGCAAGUCGAACGAGAGCGACCGGUGCUUGCACUGGUCAAUCUAGUGGCGAACGGGUGAGUAACACGUGGGUAACCUGCCCAUCAGAGGGGGAUAACAUCCGGAAACGGAUGCUAAAACCGCAUAGGUCUUCGAACCGCAUGGUUUGAAGAGGAAAAGAGGCGCAAGCUUCUGCUGAUGGAUGGACCCGCGGUGCAUUAGCUAGGUGGUGGGGUAACGGCUCACCAAGGCCGUGAUGCAUAGCCGACCUGAGAGGGUGAUCGGCCACAUUGGGACUGAGACACGGCCCAAACUCCUACGGGAGGCAGCAGUAGGGAAUCUUCCGCAAUGGACGCAAGUCUGACGGAGCAACGCCGCGUGAGUGAAGAAGGUUUUCGGAUCGUAAAACUCUGUUGUUAGAGAAGAACAAGUGCUAGAGUAACUGUUAGCGCCUUGACGGUAUCUAACCAGAAAGCCACGGCUAACUACGUG